rnacentral:rRNA from 1 species
CUUUGUAGUCCGUGUGCGGAUAACUAUUGGAAACGAUAGCUAAUACCGCAUAACAAUGGAUGACACAUGUCAUUUAUUUGAAAGGGGCAAUUGCUCCACUACAAGAUGGACCUGCGUUGUAUUAGCUAGUAGGUGAGGUAAUGGCUCACCUAGGCGACGAUACAUAGCCGACCUGAGAGGGUGAUCGGCCACACUGGGACUGAGACACGGCCCAGACUCCUACGGGAGGCAGCAGUAGGGAAUCUUCGGCAAUGGGGGCAACCCUGACCGAGCAAGGCCGCGUGAGUGAAGAAGGUUUUCGGAUCGUAAAGCUCUGUUGUAAGUCAAGAACGGGUGUGAGAGUGGAAAGUUCACACUGUGACGGUAGCUUGACCAGAAAGGGACGGCCUAACUAUCGUGCCAGCAGCCGCGGUAAUACCGUAGGUCCCGAGCGUUGUCCGGAUUUAUUGGGCGUAAAGCAGAGCGCAGGCGGUUUGAUAAGUCUGAAGUUAAAGGCCUGUGGCUCAACCAUAGUUCGCUUUGGGAAACUGUCAAACUUGAGUGCAGAAGGGGAGAGUGGAAUUCCAUGUGUAGCGGUGAAAUGCGUAGAUAUAUGGAGGAACACCCGGUGGCGAAAGCGGCUCUCUGGUCCUGUAACUGACGCUGAGGCUCGAAAGCGUGGGGAGCGAACAGGAUUAGAUACCCUGGUAGUCCACGCCGUAAACGAUGAGUGCUAGGUGUUGGAUCCUUUCCGGGAUUCAGUGCCGCAGCUAACGCAUUAAGCACUCCGCCUGGGGAGUACGACCGCAAGGUUGAAACUCAAAGGAAUUGACGGGGGCCCGCACAAGCGGUGGAGCAUGUGGUUUAACUACGAAGCAACGCGAAGAACCUUACCAGGUCUUGACAUCCCGAUGCUAUUUCUAGAGAUAGAAAGUUACUUCGGUACAUCGGUGACAGGUGGUGCAUGGUUGUCGUCAGCUCGUGUCGUGAGAUGUUGGGUUAAGUCCCGCAACGAGCGCAACCCCUAUUGUUAGUUGCCAUCAUUCAGUUGGGCACUCUAGCGAGACUGCCGGUAAUAAACCGGAGGAAGGUGGGGAUGACGUCAAAUCAUCAUGCCCCUUAUGACCUGGGCUACACACGUGCUACAAUGGUUGGUACAACGAGUUGCGAGUCGGUGACGGCGAGCUAAUCUCUUAAAGCCAAUCUCAGUUCGGAUUGUAGGCUGCAACUCGCCUACAUGAAGUCGGAAUCGCUAGUAAUCGCGGAUCAGCACGCCGCGGUGAAUACGUUCCCGGGCCUUGUACACACCGCCCGUCACACCACGAGAGUUUGU